AUAGUGCGCCCAGCGCAGCAGCACUAGUGGUGGGAGAGAGAUGAAAGAGGCAGAGGCUGAACAUCUGUCUGUAAUUGACGGGAAUUUGGGAGUGUGUGGCCUAGCAGCUGCGCCGCAGAGCUUUGUUUUUGUUCCUCGGAUACCGAGGCACCCCGGUGACCCACAAACUAACCCGCUGGUGGGACAAUCCUGCGCCUGGCCAAUGAAUACGUGCAGUCGGUGUGUAGAGGGUUAAAUAUUAAGAUAGAAAGAUGAACAAAUUGAGAUACUUCAUUUCUAUUUGGUUACCAUUCCAGGGCACAUAUGGUUCGUCUCUGCAGAAAUAUGAAAUGCUACUAUGAUCACCAUCAGUCUCUUCAUCAUCGGCAUCAUCAAUAAAGAGCAGCAGUGAACUGAACUGAACCAUGAGCUCUGAUCCUCCUGCAUUGAAGCCUAAUGCCGCAGAUCUGAGCACAGCCACUGGAGGAGCGGAGGACUCGUGUUCUUGCUGUACUUUUCCCUUUGCUGUGGUUCUGCUGAUCAUCGGUGUCACAGUCACUGCUGUGGCCUACAGUUUCAACAGCCAUGGCUCCAUCAUCUCCAUUCUGGGGCUCCUGCUGCUCAGCGGUGGGCUCUUGCUUCUGGCAUUCAGUGCAGCCUGCAGAAGAUGCAGAAAGAGGAGAGAAAUGGACAGAUCAUGGGAUAGUCAGACUGACCUGGUGGAGAGCUGGAGGAACAGCUUUGAUUGAAAGGUUUUGCAUUUGACUUUGUGUUUAUAUGAAUUAAUUUGUCAAUUAGUAACAUCAAAUAAAAAUGCGUUUUGAAGGA